rnacentral:rRNA from 1 species
AUAUUGGUCAAUGGCCGGAAGGCUGAACCAGCCAUGCCGCGUGAAGGUCAGUUCCCUCUGGGCGUUAUACUUCUUUUGUGCGGGAGCAAUAAGGUCCAGGUGUGGGCCGACGAGAGUACCGUACGAAUAAGCAUCGGCUAACUCCGUGCUAGCAGCCGCGGUAAUACGGGGGAUGCAAGCGUUAUCCGGAUUUAUUGGGUUUAAAGGGUGCGUAGGCUGUGAGGUAAGUCAGCGGUGAAAUGCCCCCGCUCAACGGGGUGAAGUGCCAUUGAUACUGCCUUGCUGGAAUGCGGAUGCCGUGGGAGGAAUGUGUGGUGUAGCGGUGAAAUGCUUAGAUAUCACGAAGAACUCCGAUUGCGAAGGCAGCUCACUGGACUGUUGACUGACACUGAGGCUCGAAAGUGUGGGUAUCAAAC